UACGAAGGGGGCUAGCGUUGCUCGGAAUCACUGGGCGUAAAGGGCGCGUAGGCGGAUAGUUUAGUCAGAGGUGAAAGCCCAGGGCUCAACCUUGGAAUUGCCUUUGAUACUGGCUAUCUUGAGUUCGGGAGAGGUGAGUGGAAUGCCGAGUGUAGAGGUGAAAUUCGUAGAUAUUCGGCGGAACACCAGGGGGGAAGGCGACUCACUGGCCCGAUACUGACGCUGAGGCGCGAAAGCGUGGGGAGCAAACAGG
rnacentral:rRNA from 1 species